rnacentral:rRNA from 1 species
CUGCGAAUGGCUCAUUAUAUAAGUUAUCGUUUAUUUGAUAGUACCUUACUACUUGGAUAACCGUGGUAAUUCUAGAGCUAAUACAUGCUAAAAAUCCCGACUUCGGAAGGGAUGUAUUUAUUAGAUUAAAAACCAAUGCCCCCCGGGGCUCUCUGGUGAUUCAUGAUAACUUCUCGAAUCGCACGGCCUUGCGCCGGCGAUGGUUCAUUCAAAUUUCUUCCCUAUCAACUUUCGAUGUUUGGGUAGUGGCCAAACAUGGUUGCAACGGGUAACGGAGGGUUAGGGCUCGACCCCGGAGAAGGAGCCUGAGAAACGGCUACUACAUCCAAGGAAGGCAGCAGGCGCGCAAAUUACCCAAUCCCGAUUCGGGGAGGUAGUGACAAUAAAUACUGAUACAGGGCUCUUUCGGGUCUUGUAAUUGGAAUGAGUACAAUUUAAAUCCCUUAACGAGGAACAAUUGGAGGGCAAGUCUGGUGCCAGCAGCCGCGGUAAUUCCAGCUCCAAUAGCGUAUAUUAAAGUUGUUGUGGUUAAAAAGCUCGUAGUUGAACCUUGGGCCUGGCUGGCCGGUCCGCCUCACCGCGUGUCACUGGUCCGGCCGGGUCUUUCCCUCUGUGGAACCACAUGCCCUUCACUGGGCGUGGCGGGGAAACAGGACUUUUACUUUGAAAAAAUUAGAGUGCUCCAGGCAGGCCUAUGCUCGAAUACAUUAGCAUGGAAUAAUGAAAUAGGACGUGCGGUUCUAUUUUGUUGGUUUCUAGGACCGCCGUAAUGAUUAAUAGGGACAGUCGGGGGCAUCAGUAUUCAAUUGUCAGAGGUGAAAUUCUUGGAUUUAUUGAAGACUAACUACUGCGAAAGCAUUUGCCAAGGAUGUUUUCAUUAAUCAGGAACGAAAGUUAGGGGAUCGAAGACGAUCAGAUACCGUCGUAGUCUUAACCAUAAACUAUGCCGACUAGGGAUCGGACGAUGUUAUUUAGUUGACUCG